AGAACGAACGCUGGCGGCAUGCCUAAUACAUGCAAGUCGAACGAACUCUUCGGAGUUAGUGGCGCACGGGUGCGUAACGCGUGGGAAUCUGCCCCUUGGUUCGGAAUAACAGUUGGAAACGACUGCUAAUACCGGAUGAUGACGAAAGUCCAAAGAUUUAUCGCCAAGGGAUGAGCCCGCGUAGGAUUAGCUAGUUGGUGAGGUAAAGGCUCACCAAGGCAACGAUCCUUAGCGGUCUGAGAGGAUGAUCAGCCACACUGGGACUGAGACACGGCCAGACUCUACGGGAGGCAGCAGUAGGAAUAUUGGACAAUAGGCGAAAGCCUGAUCCAGCAAUGCGCGUGAGUGAUGAAGGCUUAGGUUGUAAAAUUUCUUUACACCGGGUAGAAUAAUCGAACGGUAACCCGGAAGAAGAACGGCCCGUACCGUAACUUCGUGCCAG
rnacentral:rRNA from 1 species